CCGGUGCGUACACGCUUGUGAGGAUCAACCGAUGCUUCACCAACUCAAAGAUGCCGUCUUCAGGCUGCUGCGCUCACGGGAGACAUCUGAGACCGAGAGCAAAACACAAGAAGCUGACAUGCGGGUUGAGGUGGACCCGGGCAGCCGAUUUCGCGUGGCAGAGUCCUGCCUGGGGCUGGUGGGCUGUGCGUGCGUGAUCUACGCCGUGCUGGCGCCCCGCUGGAUGGACGGCCAAGGGCUGUGGACCCAAGCGGACACGUCCCCGUCCGAGGGAGAGCAGCCAGGGGAGAACGUGGACGCGGUGAAAGCGCUGGAGUUUGAGAGAGUGUUUGCAGUGUUUUCCUGCAUCAUGGCCAUGUGUUCAGGAGUUCUGUGCCUCGUCUUCGCCCUCUGCUGGACAUCCCAGACGCUGGGCUCGUAUGCCAACACACGCUCCCUCCUGAUGGCCGGGACCUCCCUUCAGCCCACCACCCUCCUGCUCAUAGUCCUCAACUUUACAGGGUUUUUCUUCCUCAUGACCUGGGCUCUGUUCACCCACCAGCACAUAGCAGAGAUCCGCGGCGACCUCGGCCGCCUGGGAUCGUCCUACUGGACGGGCGCGGCCGGCUGGGCGCUGCUAAUGGGCGCCAUGCCGGCCACCUUCCUCGCGGAACAAUUUGUCGUGCCGAACAUCCUUCCCGAAAUCGCGAGGACCUCCGAGCUGUGGUCCAGGCGGCCGCGUACGGGGGGGGCGUUCGUACAGCGACAGCCAUCAUGUCCAGCGGAACAAGCACCCCGGGGGGGUGAGGCGAUACAUGUCAGUGCCCUGAUGGAACAUCUGAGGCGUGCAGCUCAAAUGUCUGUCGGGUGGCUGUCCGUCGAACACGGUGGUCAAAGAUGAGCAAUCCCUACCUUUAGACCCCAAGCUCUCUGAGCCGGCAGCGGGGUUCCUGCUACAAGAUGAAAGGAUCACACUAAAAGGAGCGGGCAGUUCCAAAGGCUGCAGUUCCACUUGGAAAACAGUGAUGACAGAUGAUUUCUUUCUUUACUUCAUUCUUUUUUUAAGGAUUAAAUGGCCCACCUUUACAUUAAGCAGCUCUGACAUGCAUUACUGUUAACGUUUGAAUGCGAAUUCAGUUCAGGGAUGCGUUUCUGACGGCUUCUUUCAUUCCACUGAGAAGUACGUUGACCUGCUGUCACCACAGACCUCUGUUCCUGUGUAGGUUAUUACAUGACUCCACAGAUACUUUUAACACUUCAUUUAAGGUGUAACCAAAAGGAAUUGCACAUUUAAUAAUGAGCGGUGCUGUUGUAUUCAUAGUUAAGGGUCCUAGUGAACCGGAAUUGAUCUCUUCAUCGAUGGUAACUUGAAAGCACGUUGUAAGUCACUCUAGAUAAGGGCGUCUGCCAAAUGCCGUAAAUAUAAAUGUAAAUGUAAAUGUAAAUGUUGUAACGUAUCAGAUUUAUCGAACGUACAUUGGACCCCGUGUCUGAAUAAGCUAUCAGUUGUUAACAUGGAUAACGGGAAAUUUUUCGAAAUGUCCUUUUAGCAAUGUUGAACGUGCAAUGAUUUAUAUCCGUCCCUGGCAGGGGGUGUGGUGCGUAAGAUUUAAAUUAAAAAAAAAACAUCCGGG
rnacentral:lncRNA from 1 species